UACGUAGGGUGCGAGCGUUGUCCGGAUUCAUUGGGCGUAAAGAGCGCGUAGGCGGCUUGAUAAGUCUGAUGUGAAACCUCCAGGCUCAACCUGGAGACGCCAUCCGAUACUGUCAUGGCUAGAGUCCGGUAGGGGCCCACGGAAUUCCUGGUGUAGCGGUGAAAUGCGCAGAUAUCAGGAGGAACACCGGUGGCGAAGGCGGUGGGCUGGGCCGGCACUGACGCUGAGGAGCGAAAGCGUGGGGAGCGAACAGG
rnacentral:rRNA from 1 species